ACAAAUCUCCCAAAUGAACAUGUUCAUUAGAGUCAAAUAAAUACAGGAACUCAUAGCUACCCACUUGAACUUGACAUAAGCCAGGUAAAUCCUUUGACAAAAAAAUUUAUACUAUUAAAAAAAGAAUGUUUACUUCUUUAUAUUUUGAAUACGAUAGUAAGAAUCCUGGCUCCGCCGCUACUCAGCUCCACAAGAGUUGAAUGCCUGAAUAGUAACAUAAUGUAUUGUAUUUAUAAAUUGCUCACCUAAGAUCUUCCAAUUUAUUGAUUGAUUACAUGGUAUCAGAAAAGGGCUUCAUCUUGUUUUGGAUCUGUUACGAAAGAGGUCAUUCUGUGUCACCGCAACCAUAGGAGGAGGCGGAGUAACUUUUCCGGCCGAACCAGUUUUCUCCGGCGCGCCACCCGUCCAGUUCGCGUGUCCAUCACGAGCCGGCGCGUGUUCCAACUGAAUUAUUUAGGCCUUCAUUCCCGGCGUGUGCUCGUCAUUCCGGC
rnacentral:lncRNA from 1 species